UGGCCAUCCAAUCAUUAAACAUCCAACGGCUGCAUAUAUUUUGUCCUGCACGAUUGUUUUCUCUCCCUAUCAUGUCCUGCACUUCUAAAUCGAUGAACAACAAGCAGUACUUCUAAAUCUUGCAUAACAUAAAAUAAUAAUUCUAUAAUAUUGGUGUUCAAUCACCGAAAUCCUAACAAAUAAAGAUAAUAAUUGCAUACAAAACAAAGAUGUGGUUGG
rnacentral:lncRNA from 1 species